AACGAACGCUGGCGGCGUGCCUAACACAUGCAAGUCGUGCGAGAAAGUUCCUUCGGGAGCGAGUAAAGCGGCGCACGGGUGAGUAACACGUAGGUAACCUGCCCCCCAGUCUGGAACAACUAGAGGAAACUCUAGCUAAUGCCGGAUGAGACCACGAUCCCUUCGGGGUUGCGGCCAAAGAUGGCCUCUACUUGUAAGCUAUCGCUGAGGGAUGGGCCUGCGGGCCAUUAGCUGUUGGUGAGGUAACGGCUCACCAAGGCUGUGAUGGCUAGCUGGUCUGAGAGGAUGACCAGCCACACUGGGACUGAGACACGGCCCAGACUCCUACGGGAGGCAGCAGUGGGGAAUAUUGCGCAAU
rnacentral:rRNA from 1 species